GAUGUUUGCUUACUUGCUCGAUAUUUAAGAAACUCAUUGUACUCCCCUUCAGAUAUAGAAAAUCCCUGGUUACCUGUAGUCUCGAUCUGAGCAACAUAAGCAUUUUUGGGUGGUCGACCAUGUAAAGAAUAGCACACGUCACGAGUGUGACCAAGUUUAUAACAAUAAGAACACUUGGGUCUAGAUCUUCAUUAACGACCUCCUCCUCGUCUAUUCUC
rnacentral:lncRNA from 1 species